rnacentral:lncRNA from 1 species
AGAUUUUCCACCUGAGUUUGUUUUUCAUUUUUGAGGGAAAUCAGCACGGGUGCUGAGUGCUGCCUCAGCACCAAAUGAAUACUGGUAUGAACCCCAGGACAAAGUCAAAGGUUAUACUCGUCUGCAAUGCAGCUGCAAAUCUGCCUUGAUUCUCAGCGUGAGGAGAAUGGAUGCUGUUUAUGACACUGUGGCCCUGACAUGUGGCAGUCCUUGGGGACCUGCAGGCAGGGUGCCAUGUCCUCUGGAAUCCCCAGAGGCCUGAAGACAUGCUGCAUGUUCCUGCAGAAGUGCUCCUGGCUCUCCUUGUGAAACACCUUAUCUCUUGACCCCAAAGCCCAUCUGCUUGAGCCCCAAAUGUCUCACUGAGCUUAGCAUGGAAACAUGCUCCUCAGUUGUCUGCUUAUGGCCCCUGUCCCUCUCUUAGACCCUAGACAGUGACCUGCUACCUCCCGUGUCUUCCUGGUUAGCUGCUCCUUCUCCGGCCUUCCCUUCUCCCCUUCCAUCCACUUUCCUCCCCAGGGAGCUUACAGUUUCCCUUUGAAGUCCUCACUAAACACAGAUGAGGACUCUUCAAAGAACUGCACCGACCAACUCUAUGUUCUUCCGAACUGCAUUGCAGGCAGCUAUUAAUAGGAGCAACAAAAAAGGGGAGGUUCACUAGGCAAAUAAAUUUGGGAAACAGUGCAUAUUAGAUGCUCUUCUUGGAGAUUUAACUAGUCACUAUCAAGCAUGUUGAAAGUUCAGGGAAGAAUCUAUUUAACCUAAUAUAACCCAGUGUUUCCUAAAUUGGGCAUUAUAUUGGGCAUUGAACACUCUGACCAUCCCUCCCCCACCUCACACACACACAUUAGCAGUAUGCAGAUUGCAUUCUUGGGUGAUACACACUUAGAGUACAAUAAAAUAAAUUGAUAUAAACCAAUUCUGAACAUAAUUCAAUAUUGCUUUGAGGAUUCAUGAGAUGCUGGCAUUUAUCUUUUGAUCUCUGGACAAAUGGAAAUUAAGCAUACUCCAAAUGAUAUUUAAAAUACACUAAAGACAUUUAGCCUUACCUAGCGCUAGGCACAUUGUAAAUACUCAGUAUAUACUUGUGGAAUUACUGAAUUUAUGGAAAUCCUUUGGGCCUCAGUUUCAUCUACUUAGAGGAACUGGAUUAGUUGGUCUCUGACAUCACUUAAUA